GUUUUGCUUUGUUUGGGCUUACUUCACUUCCGUUUGCAUUUUUUGGGUGAAUAUGCAUGAACAUCCAAAAAACACGAAACGAAGUGAAAUAAGACCAAACAAAGCUUAU